rnacentral:rRNA from 1 species
UACAGAGGAUGCGAGCGUUAAUCGGAAUUACUGGGCGUAAAGCGUGCGUAGACAGCUAUCUAAGUCGGGUGUGAAAGCCCCAGGCUCAACCUGGGAAUUGCAUUCGAGACUGAAUAGCUAGGGUACGGUAGAGGGAAGCGGAAUUUCCGGUGUAGCGGUGAAAUGCGUAGAUAUCCGGAAGAACACCGGUGGCGAAGGCGGCCUGCUGGGACAUGGCUGACGCUGAGGCGCGACAGCGUGGGGAGCAAACAGG